UAGCAAUACUAGGUGGCGACCGGCGCACGGGUGAGUAACGCGUAUGCAACCUACCUAUAACUGGAGAAUAGCCCCCGGAAACGGGGAUUAAUGUUCCAUAAUGUUCAGAGACUGCAUAGUUUUUGGACUAAAGCUCAGGCGGUUAUAGAUGGGCAUGCGUGCCAUUAGCUAGUUGGUGAGGUAACGGCUCACCAAGGCUACGAUGGUUAGGGGGUCUUAAAGGAUGAUCCCCCACACUGGUACUGAGACACGGACCAGACUCCUACGGGAGGCAGCGGUGAGGAAUAUUGGUCAAUGGGCGCAAGCCUGAACCAGCCAAGCCGCGUGAAGGAUGACGGCCCUAUGGGUUGUAAACUUCUUUUUUACGGGAAGAACCCUCCGACGUGUCGGAGACUGACAGUACCGUACGAAUAAGCAUCGGCUAACUCCGUGCCAGCAGCCGCGGUAAUACGGAGGAUGCAAGCGUUAUCCGGAUUCAUUAGGUAUAAAGGGUGCAUAGGCGGAUUUGUAAGUCAGUGGUGAAAUACUAUAGCUUAACUAUAGAACUGCCAUUGAUACUGCAAGUCUUGAGUACAAUUGAGGUAGGCGGAAUGUGUGGUGUAGCGGUGAAAUGCUUAGAUAUCACACAGAACACCGAUUGCGAAGGCAGCUUACUAAACUGUAACUGACGCUGAUGCACGAGAGCAUGGGGAGCAAACAGGAUUAGAUACCCUGGUAGUCCAUGCCGUAAACGAUGAUCACUCGCUGUAUGUCCAUUAGGAUAUGUGGCUGAGCUAACGCAUUAAGUGAUCCACCUGGGGAGUACGGCGGCAACGCUGAAACUCAAAGGAAUUGACGGGGGCCCGCACA
rnacentral:rRNA from 1 species